rnacentral:rRNA from 1 species
UACAGAGGUGGCAAGCGUUGUUCGGAAUCACUGGGCGUAAAGGGCGUGUAGGCGGUCCGCUAAGUCUGAUGUGAAAGCCCGGGGCUCACCCCCGGAAGGGCAUUGGAAACUGGCGGACUCGAGUCCCGGAGAGGAAGGUGGAAUUCCUGGUGUAGCGGUGAAAUGCGUAGAUAUCAGGAGGAAUACCGGUGGCGAAGGCGGCCUUCUGGACGGUGACUGACGCUGAGACGCGAAAGCGUGGGGAGCAAACAGG